UGGGGAAUAUUGCACAAUGGGCGCAAGCCUGAUGCAGCCAUGCCGCGUGUAUGAAGAAGGCCUUCGGGUUGUAAAGUACUUUCAGUCGGGAGGAAGGUGGUAAGGUUAAUAACCUUUGCAAUUGACGUUACCGACAGAAGAAGCACCGGCUAACUCCGUGCCAGCAGCCGCGGUAAUACGGAGGGUGCAAGCGUUAAUCGGAAUUACUGGGCGUAAAGCGCACGCAGGCGGUUGAUUGAGUCAGAUGUGAAAUCCCCGGGCUUAACCCGGGAAUUGCAUCUGAUACUGGUCAGCUAGAGUCUUGUAGAGGGGGGUAGAAUUCCAUGUGUAGCGGUGAAAUGCGUAGAGAUGUGGAGGAAUACCGGUGGCGAAGGCGGCCCCCUGGACAAAGACUGACGCUCAGGUGCGAAAGCGUGGGGAGCAAACAGG
rnacentral:rRNA from 1 species